AUGAUGUUUCGAGAUCAAGUCGGAGUGCUGGCAGGUUGGUUUAAAAGCUGGAAUGAAUGUGAACAGACUGUUGCUUUGCUGUCCCUUUUAAAGCGGGUGAGCAGGACACAGGCUCGAUUUCUUCAGCUCUGCCUGGAGCAUUCCCUGGCGGACUGCACUGAGCUUCACAUUCUUGAAGGAGAAGCCAAUAACCCGGGAAUCAUUAACCAAUGGCAACAGGAAUCCAAGGAUAAAGUGAUUUCCCUUUUAUUAACUCACCUGCCUUUGUUGAAGCCAGGAAACAUUGAAGCAAAAGUGGAGUACAUGAAACUGUUGCCUAAAAUCCUGGCUCACUCCAUUGAACACAACCAGCACAUAGAAGAAAGCAGGCAACUCCUGUCAUAUGCUUUGAUCCACCCAGCCACUUCACUGGAAGACCGGAGUGCUUUAGCCAUGUGGUUGAAUCAUUUAGAGGACCGUACAUCAGGGAGCUUCAGCAGUCAGAACAGAGGUCGGUCUGAUUCUGUGGAUUAUGGGCAGACAUACUACUAUCACCAAAGACAAAACUCUGAUGACAAGCUCAAUGGAUGGCAGAACUCUCGGGAUUCUGGGAUAUGCAUCAGUGCCUCCAACUGGCAGGACAAAAACCUAGGCUGUGAGAAUGGCCACCUACCCCUCUACUCUUCAUCUUCAGUCCCCACCACAAUCAAUACUAUUGGUACUAGCAGCAGCAGCACAAUUCUCUCAGGCCAGGCACAUUACAGCCCUUUGAAACGAUCUGUAUCCCUUACCCCACCCAUGAAUGUGCCAAACCAGCCUCUAGGACAUGGAUGGAUGUCUCAUGAGGACUUACGAGCUAGAGGACCCCAGUGCAUCCCAUCCGAUCAUGCCCCCCUGUCUCCACAAAGCAGUGUAGCCUCUUCAGGAAGUGGUGGGAGUGAACACUUAGAAGAUCAGACUACUGCUCGUAACACAUUCCAAGAAGAAGGUAGUGGUAUGAAAGAUGUUCCUGCCUGGUUAAAAAGUCUCCGCCUACACAAAUAUGCUGCACUUUUCUCCCAGAUGACCUAUGAGGAAAUGAUGGCUCUCACGGAAUGUCAACUAGAGGCUCAGAAUGUUACCAAAGGCGCAAGACAUAAAAUUGUCAUCAGCAUCCAGAAGCUCAAGGAGAGACAGAAUCUACUAAAGUCUUUAGAAAGGGACAUCUUAGAAGGGGGCAACCUGCGUGUCCCUCUGCAAGAAUUGCACCAGAUGAUCCUUACUCCAAUAAAAGCAUAUUGCUCUCAGAGCUCUAACACAGAGAAACACAGCCAAGAGUCAGAGCCUCAUCAUCAACUUACUCUGAUUGGUUCUGAUAAUCAAGUCCUUGAUUGUAAGGACUCUGCAGCAGGAGGUGGAAUCCAGCAGCACCACAUGAGUGGCUGUGAGGGAGAAUCUGCAGGGGCACCUCUGCCUGAAGGCGAUCUCCCUGGACAGUUCACAAGAGUCAUGGGAAAAGUGUGUACACAGCUCCUGGUCUCUAGACCUGAUGAGGAAAAUAUAAGUUCCUAUUUACAACUCAUAGACAAGUGUCUAAUUCAUGAGGCAUUUACAGAAACACAGAAAAAAAGAUUGUUGUCAUGGAAACAGCAGGUGCAGAAGCUCUUUCGGUCUUUCCCUCGGAAAACCCUUCUAGACAUAUCAGGAUAUCGACAGCAAAGAAAUCGAGGUUUUGGACAAUCAAACUCUCUACCAACAGCAGGCUCUGUAGGUGGUGGCAUGGGUAGGCGGAACCCUCGCCAGUACCAGAUCCCUUCAAGGAAUCUCCCUUCAGCCCGACUUGGCCUCUUGGGUACCAGCGGGUUCAUCAGCUCUACCCAGCGUAGUUCAGCAACCAACCCUACCAUCCUAAAACAAGGAAGACAGAAUCUUUGGUUUGCCAACCCUGGGGGCAGCAACAGCAUGCCAAGUAGAACUCACAGCUCUGUCCAAAGGACCCGUUCCCUGCCUGUUCACUCAUCCCCUCAGACCAUGUUGAUGUUCCAACAGCAAGAGUUCCAGGUUCCAGUGACAGAACCUGACAUCAACAACAGGCUAGAAUCCUUGUGCCUCAGUAUGACUGAACAUGCCCUUGGGGAGAGCUGGUUCUGAGCCAAGAGCUUCCUUGGGAAAUAAUGGGGACAACAUGAUUCUGAAGAGCAGGGCAAGAAUUGGGUCCACAACAUCUUUGUCCCUAGUUCAUAUUGAGGCAACAUGGGUUAAGAACCUGAUGGGGUUGAUCGAACCUCCACUAUCUAGAAACUGAAGGAGUUAGUGACCGCGCUGGCCGUGAAAUCGACUGCUGCGGGUCCAGUGUCAGCCAUCUUCAGACUUGCACAGGAUCCUCUGAGAUACUUUGCAACCUUUUUUUUUCCUGGUCCCUCUCCCAUUUUGAUUUUGUGAGAGCGUAGGUCGUCCUUGUAAACAUAUCAUUAGACCCGGGAUUGGUUAUUUUGUCAUUUAUUACAUCAAGAGUAGAAGAGCCAGUAGAAUGGAUUGAUGGGAGGAGCAUGGAGAAGGAGGGAACAUAGGGGAGGAAAGAUGGGACUAGUGAGGGAUUUCCCAGAUGAAAUAAUAAAUAGUUCCAACAGUAAGAAAGAUAUAAAAGAAACACAUCAUCAGGAAACAGAAGACCCUGGUCCUGGUGAGCCCCAGUAGAGAAGAGAGCCUGGCUUCAAAAAUCAGUCAAGAUGCAUGUGACCAAAGCAAGGUGGCAUCUCACAGCUUCACCUUUCAUGUCUCUCAUUGACUGGCUUUUCCUGAAGGUCUUGCCUGACCCAGAGAUAUAGGGCCACUUAGGAAAGGGGAUGAAAAAGGAGACAUUUUCCUCCAACUAAAUUUUAGAUAACUUCAAUUUGUAUAUUGUUUACAUAAUAACAAAUCGAAAGGGUACAUAAUGUAUAAAGAUGUCAGUUAGGGCCUCUCAUAGUAUUGUAAAGGAUUUUUGUUCUAAAUGAUGAUGUGGGAUGUUUUUCUCUGUUCAUUUUUAAAAUAGCAGCAGGUUUGCAUUUUUAUAAAUGGCUGCCAAGCUCUGCUUCUAGGAAAGAUGGACACUGGCAUGUAGAACUGAUGGAUUUUUUGAUUUUGAGCACAGAUUGAUGAGAAGGCUGGGGAUGUUGUCUGAAAGGGUGACAGUGUGGAUGAUGUAAAGAGGAGAAUGUCAUGUGAUCAGUAUUAUGGCUUCACAGUGUUAUGGCUUCUCUCUCAUUUCACAAGGUGAUUUCUAAAAGAUGCUGCACUGUCAUAAAUCUGCUUCUACCCCAGAAUAUCUUCCUCCUCCACUCACUAAGCCCCAUCUGAUCAAUCUUCUUAUCUCCUAUCAUUUAUUCCUUACCCUCAUCACCAUCACCACCACUCCACCUUCUCUUUAGACUAUUAGCUUAAAGAAAAAAAAAUCUGACACUCAAAGGUGUUUGCACAUACAUUCACUUAUGGAGGGAAGUAAAAAAGGAUGGAAUUUGUAUUUCCCUGUGGAUAUGCCAUGUAUACAUGACAAGGGGCAUUGCUUUAGGAUGAAGGAAUCUAGUUUGAGUUAUGGGGCAUAAACCCUAUAAAUAGUGAUCCCUUCACUGAAGUCACUGGGGGAAAAGGACCUGAGUCUUUGGGAUAUGGCAUAAGUUCGCUGCUGAAUGAAGAGUACAAAUGGGAACAGCCUGUGCUUCCCAUUUCCACACUUAACAAGCACAGAGUCCCCAGCUUUUGUGGUGCUAUUGAAAGUAGGAGUGGAGACAGAGAGGUCAAGGAAGGGAGGGACUAAUAUAUAUAGGAGAGAAAAUCUUAUGAUUAUAAUGGAUACCUGUAGCAAGGUUUAAAUCAGGGAUUUUCUGUGAUGCUGGUUAGUCUUUCCACACACAGAAAAGAAGGAUGUCAUUACAUAGUGAUGGUAUCAUAAAGAUGGUACCUUUUCUUAAGGGAAAGAAAGUUAGACAGUUUGGUGUUGUGAAAAGUGCAUUAAAAGAAACCAAACAGAAGUUAAGGUCUGUACUAGGAAGCUGAACAGUAUAAAUUUUGGUAUGAAUACAUAGCCAAAAAGAGGAAGGUUCAAGGAGAUAUGGCAUUAAAGUUAGUUUGGGAAGAUUUAUUCAGUGCUAAGAAAGUAUAGCAAGGAAUGUGAGAAAUUAUAGUAUUUUUACAUCUUAUAAAAAACAAUAAGAUGUUGAAUCUUGAGUUGCACCCUAAGUAAUUCUAGCUACAUAAAACUUGCAGUUUUGAAAAGAAAUACACAAUUGCAUUAGCAUGAAGUCUUUAAAAGAAAAAUAACACAAAAGUAUUUACUUAUUGGAAUUUCUAUUUGUUCCUUUAUAGAAGCAAAAGUUAGCUGAUUAUUAGAGAUAUACUUUUGAAUAUGCUAUUUUACUACCUUGCUGUGGCUGGUAACCAUAAUUUCUGUCAUUAAUAACCACAUCGGUAAUUUUUUAAGGCUUAUUUUUCAUUGACUGUAUAGAUUAAUUUAGUUGUGUUUUGUUUUUUGGUGUUUUAAUUUAAAAAAAAAAACAGAGUUUCUGUUAAAUUUUAGAAGACUACCCCUGCUCUAUGUGGAACCUGUAUUGACUGCAGGUAUAGAUAGAAUUCAAUUUUUUAAAAAAUCCUAAAGCAAAAGAAAUCUAUUUAUUAAAAAAAAAAACAGUUGCAUGCAUAACGCUGUGAAGUCAGAUAUUUAGUAAUAAAGCGGCAGUGCCUUUUUUUGUAUUUUACCCAUUUAUGCCAAAUGCAACUGUUUUAUAAUAAGCAAAUAUAAGAUAAUUUUUUAAAAAUCAGAAUGACUUUCACUAUAUAUAUAUAUAUUUUGUUGUUCUUGUUCUGAUUUAAGCAAUGUAUUCUUAGCAUCUCUGCACACUACUCCAUAUACAGUAGUGUACUGCUACAAUAUUCUUAUUCUUACGUAUGAUGUUUUAUUGGUGCUUUUUAUUCAUAGUAAUUUCUUACCAUUACUAAUAGGAAGAGACACACACCCUAUGUAUACAACAUGAAACGUUGCUGCUGAUAUGUUCUCACAUGCUUUGGGUUCCACUUCCUAAAUGAUGGCUGGCAAGCCAAAUAGACCCUACAUGGUCUACAAAGUGAUGGUUUCUGGGCCAAGAAAGAAGCUUUCAAAUCCUUGUGUCUGAUUGGUAUCAAGAAAUAGGGCCACAACUGACAACCACCACCCCGUUUCCUACUUCCUAUCUUCCCCAUUCACAUCCCCACCUCCAUCACUCUUUGAAGAACAUUGAGGAAAAUUUGCUUUUCAUUCAAGAUCUUUUUCUACCUUUUACCAAGCCCAUCCAGCAACCCUUUCUACCUACCACAAGCCUCUCUAUCCCCCAGCCCGCUUACAGAUACAGGAUUUGUCUCUCCUCUCCAUUAUGAACUAGAAACUUGAGAGCAUCCCCUCCAGCCCAGACAAAUAUAGAGAUUCAAACCCAGGACUAUGACAUGCUUGCUGCUGGACUGGGCUGGGCUGGGCUAGAAAACUGAAAAGAGGAGAGAAAAGAACACAGGAGUGAGCAGAAGUCAGGUUUGUCUCUCCUUCAGAAAUCUCUGCAGUCAGCCCUAAUUUGGGGUACAGAAAGAUACAACUUUAAACUUUCUAAAUGUGCCUGAUGAUAAGUAGAUUCUGCAGAAAUAUAAUUUGCACAUACAGCUAUAAUAACACUAAUGUUGAUUUUAUACAAAUCAUCAGAGUUUGCAAAAUGAGUUUUAUUUUUUGUAAUUCCUUUAUCUUUACUUAAAGGUGAAUGUGAAUUCACCUUUAAGUAAAGAUAAAGGAAUUACAAAAAAUGUGAAUGUGAAUUCCUCUGGGAGGAAUAGGAAGAAAAUAGGAAUGUUAAUAAUGUUAAACAGAAUACUUCCUCCCUUAUUAAUAUAUAACCCUUUUGUAUUUAUGCAUAAUAAGCUGACUUUAAAAAGCUUUGCCUUUUUUGUUGUUGCAUGCCCCAUGCAAGCAAGUGAUAUUGUACCUGCAUGCAUUUAGUCCUCUUUUUCUGUAUAAAAUUAGUGCAUAAAGGGAUAUUUUUGUCUAGUUUAUAUUGCCAACAAUGCACAUUUUAAAUUUUUGGUCAUAUAUGGAAAAUAGCAUGUUUGUACAUGUAAAAGAUUUACUGAUAUACAGAAAUACUAAUAUUUGGAGAUGCCCUACUUUGCAAGUAUACAGUUUUCAAAUGUUGUUACCAGUGAAAACACCCUUGUGGUUUAAACUUGCUACAAUGUAUUUAUUACUCAUUUCCUCCUAUGUAACUAAGAAAUCAUGGCUAUAUUUCUUAUAUUGAAAGUGAAGGGAGAUGAUUAAUACAAGAUUUUGUAACA